rnacentral:rRNA from 1 species
UGGGGAAUAUUGGACAAUGGGGGGAACCCUGAUCCAGCGAUGCCGCGUGUGUGAAGAAGGCCUGCGGGUUGUAAAGCACUUUAGUUGGGGAGGAAGGUUAGAUGGUUAAGAGCUGUUUAAUUUGACGUUACCCAAAGAAUAAGCACCGGCUAACUCUGUGCCAGCAGCCGCGGUAAUACAGAGGGUGCAAGCGUUAAUCGGAAUUACUGGGCGUAAAGGGCGCGUAGGCGGAUAAUCAAGCUGGAUGUGAAAGACCCGGGCUUAACCUGGGGGUGUCAUUCAUAACUGGUUAUCUAGAGUAUGGGAGAGGAGAGUGGAAUUCACAGUGUAGCGGUGAAAUGCGUAGAUAUUGUGAGGAACAUCGAUGGCGAAGGCAGCUCUCUGGCCUGAUACUGACGCUGAGGCGCGAAAGCAUGGGUAGCGAACAG